AACGAACGCUGGCGGCAGGCCUAACACAUGCAAGUUGAACGCCCGUAGCAAUACGGGAGUGGCAGACGGGUGAGUAACGCGUGGGAACGUGCCCUUCGGUUUGGAAUAACUCAGGGAAACUUGAGCUAAUACCAAAUACGUCCGUAAGGAGAAAGAUUUAUCGCCGAAGGAUCGGCCCGCGUCGGAUUAGCUAGUUGGUGAGGUAACGGCCCACCAAGGCGACGAUCCGUAGCUGGUCUGAGAGGAUGAUCAGCCACACUGGGACUGAGACACAGCCCAGACUCCUACGGGAGGCAGCAGUGGGGAAUAUUGGACAAUGGGCGAAAGCCUGAUCCAGCCAUGCCGCGU
rnacentral:rRNA from 1 species